GCCUCUUUAGUAUAGUGGUAGUACGCUUAUUUGCAAAAUAACCUGUGCCAGUUCGAAUCUUGGAUAUUGGA
rnacentral:tRNA from 1 species